AUUUGUUAAUAAACGCUUGAUGAACAAAAUAAAAGAUUUGCUCAGUUCACGGCUGUGUAAGCCUUGAUGAUAAUUUAUAACAUGGAGGUAGUCGCUUUGACCCGCCAUCUUAAGUAGGCAAAAUUUUAGAUUUUUGUAUCAUAAUUUUCUCUCGUUGUCAUGGCCUAAAUUUAAUUGAUCAAGUCUUACUUGAUAUUCCACUAUUCCGGUCAGAUUACACUUAUAUUUUUUUAUUAUUUUCUCAUCAUUUAAAAGAUAAAAAAGUUCGCCCACGAUGAAAAGUUGCAUAGAAACUAUAUUUUUUUGGUCAUGUGACUGGAUUAAUGGAAUAACAAUACAUACAACAUUAAAACACAUAUGAAUUAUAAAUUAUAAGCCAAACUGUAAAAAAAUAUUUUCUUAUCAUGCAUUAGUUACGAUUUUCUUACUGAUAAGUGAUAACUGAGAAGGGAUGGAUAUCCCCUAACGAGUUGUAAAUACGAAUAAAAUAAUGUAUAUCCAAUUAAUUAAUUAAAUUUGGUAAAAGAUUUUGAAUAAGUGACAGAAAGUGUGAGGUGGUGGGGAAAAUGUCAUUAUCAUAUGACUCAUUGCAUCUGUAUCUAUACGUAUUUGUUUUAGGAAUAUCCAAUUUAUUGAUAUAUGGCAGUAUAUAAAGCAGAAAUUUCAUCUCUUUACGUGUUUUAACCAUACCUUUUUUUUU
rnacentral:lncRNA from 1 species